rnacentral:rRNA from 1 species
UUAAAACUCAAAGGAAUUGACGGGGACCCGCACAAGCGGUGGAUGAUGUGGAUUAAUUCGAUGCAACGCGAAAAACCUUACCUACCCUUGACAUGUGAGGAACUUGUGAGAGAUCACUUGGUGCCCGAAAGGGAACCUCAACACAGGUGCUGCAUGGCUGUCGUCAGCUCGUGUCGUGAGAUGUUGGGUUAAGUCCCGCAACGAGCGCAACCCUUGUCAUUAGUUGCUACAUUUAGUUGAGCACUCUAAUGAGACUGCCGGUGACAAACCGGAGGAAGGUGGGGAUGACGUCAAGUCCUCAUGGCCCUUAUGGGUAGGGCUUCACACGUCAUACAAUGGCACGUACAGAGGGUUGCCAACCCGCGAGGGGGAGCCAAUCCCAGAAAGCGUGUCGUAGUCCGGAUUGUUCUCUGCAACUCGAGAACAUGAAGUCGGAAUCGCUAGUAAUCGCGGAUCAGAAUGCCGCGGUGAAUACGUUCCCGGGUCUUGUACACACCGCCCGUCACACCAUGGGAGUAGGUUUCACCAGAAGUAGCUAGCCUAACCGUAAGGAGGGCGGUUACCACGGUGAGAUUUAUGACUGGGGUGAAGUCGUAACAAGGUAACC